AACGAACGCUGGCGGCAGGCCUAACACAUGCAAGUCGAACGGACCCUUCGGGGUUAGUGGCGGACGGGUGAGUAACACGUGGGAACGUGCCUUUAGGUUCGGAAUAGCUCCUGGAAACGGGUGGUAAUGCCGAAUGUGCCCUUCGGGGGAAAGAUUUAUCGCCUUUAGAGCGGCCCGCGUCUGAUUAGCUAGUUGGUGGGGUAACGGACCACCAAGGCGACGAUCAGUAGCUGGUCUGAGAGGAUGAUCAGCCACAUUGGGACUGAGACACGGCCCAAACUCCUACUGGCGGCAGCAGUGGGGCAUCUUGCGCAAUGGGCGAAAGCCUGCCGCAGCCAUGCCGCGUGAAUGAUGAAGGUCUUAGGGUUGUAAAAUUCUUUCACCGGGGACGAUAAUGACGGUACCCGGAGAAGAAGCCCCGGCUAACUUCGUGCCAGCCGCCGCAGUAUGAC
rnacentral:rRNA from 1 species